AAUCUCAUUUGGCGUGCUAACACUGAUUAUUAGUCAUAUUAUUGUUUGUUUUUGUUUAUUUUUCCUUUUAUGUCGUUUGAUGACGUUCGAUGAUACCGGUCAUAUCGGAUUUUUAAAGUCUCUAAGCUGUCGAAUAAGCUUUCGAUUGCAAGUAGCGUCGUGUUCUGUCUUGUGCCUUAGCUUGUGUCCCAGUAGUUCGCGCUCUGAAUUUAGUCAGACUUCCAAAUCAACUCGGCCAUUUUUCGCUUUUGAUCAAUGUAAUAUCGUUUGCCGUCGCUUGGAGAUACUCAGAUUACUUUUUGUAUUCCGCCUAACUACGUAAUUAGUCUUAAUUAUUCAGCUCAGAUAUUAUAGUUAGAUUAAGUGUUAAUGAGAAAAUUGUAGAGCAACAAUUAAAAACUCCUGAUACAGCUUUCUUUUGCUCAAUACGUGCUACAUAAAAGUGCUUUUCCGAGCGUGAAAGGAGCCCGCGGAAACACGCAAGUGUUCCUCGAGCCGCCAAUCGCGCAACAAUUUGGCGAAUUUUUUCAGCGAGCGAGAAAAAGUUAGGCGGGUCAAACAAAAAUACGCUAGUUAUAAUUAUCAGGUGUUGGAAUACAAUAUUGCAUUCUUUCUGCACAAUUUCAAGCUUACAAAAGGUGCUGUAUAUCCACAAGGUAAUCAAGCAUGUCCUAUUUAGGGUGCUUACCAAAAGAGGAUUGAAAAUAGAGACAUUGGGACGGAAAUAAAUUGGCGGGCGUUAAGUCACAGCAGUGAUAGAUAUCAUAAAUUAUGCGAUAACCGACCAUAAACUGUCUAGGUAAUUAAAUUUCGCUAAUGCUUACUCAAUCACUUUACCUCAAUAUUAGAACUACAUUAAUGAGCGGGGUUGGUGAUGAGCGCAUUUAUCCUGAGUGAGAAUCUCGAUGCUAACAUCUGUUUUCACACAUCAAUCUUCAACUUUAGCGAUGAAGUAGGCUUCCACUAGACGCAGUUUUACCACGCAAUCCUUAAAAGGGCUCUAUGACAAAGUUAUUGAAUGUAUAUCCACCGUGGCUAGGAAUCAAACGUGCAGAGCAAGACCACAAUGGACGCCGCUGGAAAACGGAAUUAUACUGACGAUCGAAUCGCGCAAACGCCAUCCGCGCCACCGUUGUCGCCCUUGCCAACUGGACAGAUCAUGCGCGGCUCGCGCGCGUAAGAUUAGAAUGCCUCCAGAAUGCCUCCAGAUGUGUGUUUGGCUAGAAAAACUACGAAGCGGAGUGGACGCACCGUCAACGCUACGCUCAAUGAAUCACCUCAGUGGUGAAACCAGGACCACCUUCUGCCUUCCGCUGCUGGUCGGAGCGUUGUUGGCAUGUCAUUAUACGCGCACUAGAGCGUUUUUGUGGAACUGCUGCGUGUAUGCACUGCUCUGAGGGGAAUGGCAGUGAACGAUGACAUUGUCUAACAUUUCACUGAGCGCUGACUAACGGCUACAAUUUGCCAUCCUCAUCUCGUGUGCAGUCGAGGUGCGAAGCCUGCAACGCCACUCGGGACACUCAUCUAACACUCAUCCCGCCAGCCUUGUGAGACGCCUGGUAGCUACCAAGGCGCUGUUUCUACUACUACUUGAGGGUUGCCUUGCAUGCUGAGUCGCGCCAACAUAUCGCGCAAUGCCAUAGCACUCACUGGUGACUUCAAUUCUCGCCACGUGUCAUGGGGUUUUAAAACUGAUUUAGGUGGAAAACCCCUGCCGAAAAUGCACUCUUGAUUAUAAUCUAUCUUGUCUAAAUUCAAAAGUUGCUACGUUUGUUCGCGGCCAGUCUCACUCAGCAAUAGACCUCACUUUUUGCAGCUCGUCUCCAAUUAUAUCCUCGUGGAAUACUAUAGACUGUGCUACAAACAGCGACCACUUUCCUAUUAUUUUUGAGGUUGAUCUACCUGUGAUUUCUUUCGGAAGAAAAAAUAGCACAUUUCUAAACUAUGACAAAUUUCGUAACGACUUUAAGUCUACGAUGCUUUCCCUUACGGAUAUGCAAGAAGAUAUUAGGGCUAUGAGCUUCAGUAUCGUUUUAAAACGUUCCUUGAAGAAUGUAGCUGUUCUCCAGCACAGGUAGAUCUUUCAGUCUGUGGUGGAAUUCUAAAAGCGCGUGGGCUUACCGAAAACGCAAAACUGUCUGGAAAGAACUUCUUUGUAAUCCAUUUCCAAACAAUUAGAGCGAAUACCAAAUUUUUGCUGCAUCUUUCAAGCGCACGAUACCUAAAGCCAAAUAUGAGUAAAAUAUGGAUACAUUAUCUGAUUUGUCUAAAUAAAAAAACCCGAAGAAAGCCGUUUGUAGAUUUUUUUACGCCCUCGAAAGAUGAUUCCCGUUCCAACAAAUGUUGACUCUUUUGUCCUUUCACGACGUGAAUUGUCCGAAUUAUGGGAAAAUAUUGGAAAGGUACUAGAAGACAGGUUCUCUUCAAUAGUUCCACCGUUCCUAUUGAAACCACUAUCGCUAGAGGAAUUUAGGGAAGUCACAUUGCAUGAAUUGGCGAGUGCUGUUCGCCCUACAUUUCUGAAAACUUAAUAUUUAGCUACAGUCCAAUUGGCUUUAGAUCUGGGUGCUCGAUAUGCUGUGCGUAGGCAGACUUAGAGUCGCAUACAACUUGCUCGUCACCGACGGGAAUAUUCAGCAUUAGUGACCCUAUUUCUAGCUAAAGCUUAUGAGUACAUGGGAUACUGAUAAAGCAGCUAAAGAAUCACACGUUUCCUAAGUACAUCAUGGCACGGCUUUCGUUUUUUUUAAGGAACAUAGAAUUCUACUGUUUUCAAAGCGGAUGUUUAUCGUUUAUGUAUAAGCGGAAACGCAGAGUACGACAAGGGUCAACUUUAUCUCGUGUUUUAUUUAUUACAUUUAUAAUCUCUAUCCCUCUGCUCCAGGAUAUUCAUGUAUACGUUUAUGACGAUGCCAUCGCUUUUUCUUUUGCAUUGAAUGAUCAUACACUUUCACUUUAUAAAUCGUUACAAAAUUACCUCUGUACUUUAGAAACUUGGAUUGAGAACAUACACGUGUCUCUGAACGUCAGUAAAAGUGCACUUCUUCUCUUUC